rnacentral:rRNA from 1 species
CGCGGUUUAUACGAGUGACGCAAAUUAAUAUUAUACGGCGUUAAGGGUGAUUAGAAAUAAUCUCACCAAAAUAAAGUUAAGACCUCAUUAAGCUGUCAUACGCUCUUACGAUUGGAAACACCAUUCACGAAAGUAACUUUAUAUAAACAGAAUUUUUGACCUCACGACAGUUAAGACCCAAACUAGGAUUAGAUACCCUACUAUGCUCAACCAUAAACAUCGUUACUAAUGAUUUACCUUAAUACCCGCCCGAGUACUACAAGCGCUAGCUUAAAACCCAAAGGACUUGGCGGUGCUCCAAACCCACCUAGAGGAGCCUGUUCUACAACCGAUAAUCCGCGUUCAACCUCACCACUUCUUGCUUUUCCACCGCCUAUAUACCGCCGUCGUCAGCUCACCCUAUGAAGGUACAAUAGUAAGCAAAAUGACCUCCCUCCUCAAUACGUCAGGUCGAGGUGUAGCGAAUGAAGUGGGAAGAAAUGGGCUACAUUCUCUCUUUAGAGUAUACGGAUAGAAACAUGAAAAUCUUCUUAAAGGCGGAUUUAGCAGUAAGUAAACUUUAGAACAUUACACUGAAACCGGCUCUGGAGCGCGCACACACCGCCCGUCACUCUCCUCGAAACACAACAUAUAUUUUAUAAAAAAGAUUUCUCAACAAGAGGAGGCAAGUCGA